CGGAAACAAAGACACCUAUAUCUUGGAUGAACUGGAAAGCUGUGCAGAAGGUCAAGCGGUUUUUAAUUUGUAAAGUUUUAGGUGGCAAUACUACACUUUUUCUCAUCUAUUGCUGAAUUGACAGACCCUAGUCUUAAAUAUAUUAAAUGAGGACAAGAAAAUGCUGUACUAGAAAAAUUCAUCUGACUCAGAGGGUGGAGUUCUGCGUCUCUGAAUGGAUCUCACAAAAGUGCAGGAGCACAUAUUAUAUGAUGAAACAGACAUCUUGAUUUGGGCAUCCAAUAUAUCAACCAUUAUGUUUAUUUACACACUUAUGAUUUUAUGGAUCCACCUGGGUGAGACAGAGGCAAAUGCAAUCUUCCCACUAUUACCUAUAAAGAGCACUGUUGUUGGUGGAAAUGUAACUAUAUCCUGCAGUUACAAAGGAUUCACUGGAAGUGUGCUAAAUGUACAGUGGUACAAACAAUAUGCCAGAUCAAAACUAAAGUUCAUUGUCCACAGCUAUCCACAGGGAGGUCCAGCCUUACCCAUAAACAUAUCACGAUUUUCUGGCAAAUUUGAUCAAGACCUUCAACAAGUGGAUCUAAAGAUCUCAAAUGUUGUUUGGACAGAUUCAGCAGUGUACUACUUCGCACUGCAGCCCACAGUCACAGAACACUA